rnacentral:rRNA from 1 species
AAAGACCCUAUGAAGCUUUACUGUAACUUGAGAUUGAAAUUGGACUUUAUUUGCGCAGUAUAGGUGGGAGGCGUUGAGAGUAUUCUUGCGGGAAUAUUGGAGCCAUCAGUGAGAUACCACUCUUGUAAUGUUAGAUUUCUAACUUUGUAUCAUUAUCUGGUCAAAGGACAGUUUCAGGCGGGCAGUUUGACUGGGGCGGUCGCCUCCUAAACGGUAACGGAGGCGUACAAAGGUUUCCUCUGAACGGGUAGAAAUCGUAUCUAGAGUGUAAAGGCAUAAGGAAGCUUGACUGUGAGACCUACAAGUCGAGCAGGGACGAAAGUCGGUCUUAGUGAUCUGACGGUGCUGAGUGGAAAGGCCGUCACUCAACGGAUAAAAGUUACUCUAGGGAUAACAGGCUGA